rnacentral:rRNA from 1 species
GACGAACGCUGGCGGCGUGCCUAAUACAUGCAAGUUGAUCGCUGAAGGUUGGUACUUGUACCCACUGGAUGAGCAGCGAACGGGUGAGUAACGCGUGGGGAAUCUGCCUUUGAGCGGGGGACAACAUUUGGAAACGAAUGCUAAUACCGCAUAAAAACUUUAAACACAAGUUUUAAGUUUGAAAGAUGCAAUUGCAUCACUCAAAGAUGAUCCCGCGUUGUAUUAGCUAGUUGGUGAGGUAAAGGCUCACCAAGGCGAUGAUACAUAGCCGACCUGAGAGGGUGAUCGGCCACAUUGGGACUGAGACACGGCCCAAACUCCUACGGGAGGCAGCAGUAGGGAAUCUUCGGCAAUGGACGAAAGUCUGACCGAGCAACGCCGCGGGAGUGAAGAAGGGUUUCGGAUCGUAAAACUCUGUUGGUAGAGAAGAACGUUGGUGAGAGUGGAAAGCUCAUCAAGUGACGGUAACUACCCAGAAAGGGACGGCUAACUACGUG